rnacentral:snRNA from 1 species
AUACUUACCUGGCGCGGGGGAUACCGUGAUCAAGAAGGCGGUGCCUCCAGGACGAGGCCUGUACAUUGCACUCCGUAUGGGCUGACUCCUGCGACUACCCAAAUCGGGGUGGCUCUCGAGCGCAUAAUUUUUGGUAGUGGGACAAGCGUUCGCGCUGUCCUU